UUUGCCUUAUUAUCUACCAAAUCGUUGAAUCCUCCUACGUCUUAAUUCUUCCAAAGAUAGAUCAUGUAUCUCACUUGUUGAACCAGGGGAUGAUGGUGCAUCACCGGUACGACCUGUGCCACACAUUUCACAAACGUUCAGCCUACCUGAAUUAUCAAAUGUACAUGCAUCACAUCUCCACGUAUGAAGUGUAUCUCGUGCAAUCCUCGCACCAGCAGUUCCUCUCCCAGUAAUUCUAGGUCGAUGUCGAAAUAAGCUCUUCACUAAUCUUAAAGGCCAGCUCAGAGCAUGGCUAAAACCUCUCAUGAAUUGUCUAACUGGAUUCAGACCUGAAUAUGACGCUUUUAAUUGCAAAUACAGAAGGCCAGCUAGUAUUCCCCCAAGGUGGCCAAGGAAUGAGACACCAGGGACAAACAUUUGUACGAGAACAAGCUCUGCCCAGGCAGCAUAACGAGUAGGAACCAUAAGUCCAUGUACAGAGGUAUACUCAUCUGAUUGUGAAUUGACGAUAACUUUCAUGGCGAAGAGGACACCAGAAAAACCCACAGAGUAUUCAUUAUAGUAGGGUCUCUCGUAAUCAAAGAACAGCAGAAGUGAUUUUGCAAGCAACAGUGUAACACCUUGGGACAUAGCAACUAAGGUUGCAACCAUUGAUGCAAACUCUGCACUACCCAUCGAUGUCUCCAGUUGAAUACCCUUCCACAAAAGUGAAAGCAUAUUGUACACCAGGUGAGAUUCAUUUACGUGGAAGAACGGCGACAGGAAGAAUCGCUUGAGGUCUGUGUACUUGAGAAUAAGGUGAGGAUUAAACCAAACUUGAUCGAUUGUGGGAAGGAAA
rnacentral:misc_RNA from 1 species